AUGAACGCUGGCGGCGUGCCUAAUACAUGCAAGUCGAGCGAACGGACGAGAAGCUUGCUUCUCUGAUGUUAGCGGCGGACAGGUGAGUAACACGUGGAUAACCUACCUAUAAGACUGGGAUAACUUCGGGAAACCGGAGCUAAUACCGGAUAAUAUUUUGAACCGCAUGGUUCAAAAGUGAAAGACGGUCUUGCUGUCACUUAUAGAUGGAUCCGCGCUGCAUUAGCUAGUUGGUAAGGUAACGGCUUACCAAGGCAACGAUGCAUAGCCGACCUGAGAGGGUGAUCGGCCACACUGGAACUGAGACACGGUCCAGACUCCUACGGGAGGCAGCAGUAGGGAAUCUUCCGCAAUGGGCGAAAGCCUGACGGAGCAACGCCGCGUGAGUGAUGAAGGUCUUCGGAUCGUAAAACUCUGUUAUUAGGGAAGAACAUAUGUGUAAGUAACUGUGCACAUCUUGACGGUACCUAAUCAGAAAGCCACGGCUGACUACGUG
rnacentral:rRNA from 1 species